GAGUGAGAGAAGACAAGAAUGAGCGGCAGAAAACGACAUGUCUCUGGCCACUCAUUCACUUCUCCUCUCCUCUCUUUGGCCAGGCUGGGUGGUUGGAGCUAAGGGGUUUUUGGUCUUUUAAUUAUAGUUAUGCUGGAUUAAUUAUGGCACGAGAACACACACACACACAUACACAGUCACACACUCACAGGAACGAUAGUGCCAUGUAUUAUUGAUGAAUGAGCAAUGAGUGCAGAGCUUUAGGGGAGAACAGGGUAAUUAAAUCACUGCCCCUCUGCCUUCUCUUCUGCUCUCCCUCUCUUCUCUCUCUUCUCCGUCCUCUCUCAGCGAUCCCUCCUUCCAACUCUUGGAUCAUUGUCCUCCUUUGUCAGAUCUCGCGCCCCCUCAUCCUGCACCUCCUCUCCCGCUGCAUGUUCCCUCUUUCCUCCUCUCCUUGUUCUCCCUUCUUCCUACUAAAUGGAUGGAACAUGCAAAACGGGGGCUAAAUUUGAAGCUUAAGAGGGCGCCCUACACAACCUAUCGAUGUGAGAAACGGUAUCUCCGGUGUGGUCAAUGAACACGAGUGCAUACUGCAUAGGCAGUGACACCCGUAGACAAAACACAGCAACUCUCAUUUCGUUUUCUACGAAAAGACCAGUUGAAGUAGGUUCCUCCCAAUACAAUUUUAUAAAAGAGUACAUGUCUGUAGCCUACUAUAUAUUCUAUAUAAAAGACUGAUGGAGAGACACGUUAGAAAAGUCUGGCCCAUCCUCUUAUCCUUCGGUUCCAUUCAAUAUAUUGCUCUUCGCCUGCAGAUGACGCUAUCAGGCAGUGGUCGUUGGGAAUACGCACUGUUCUUCAUGAACCUUACGUCAGUUGACAGGAGAUUGACGGUGACAGCUGCUCACAGAGGGGAGGUGAAAGAUGUGGCCAAACAUGUCAUGGCAAAGGUCAGUGUGAAAGCAUGCCAGUCCACUCCUUCACAUCCAAGGCAACGUCCGGAAUGGACUCUCCUUCAAAGGACAGACAUACAUGUAUCAUCAGUGGCAGGGUUAACUUCAAGGGGAAAUCCUAUUUGUGAAAAUGAUCAACAUCUGUCUGUUAGUUACACUUAGUAUACAUGUAUAUCAGAACACCGACAACCCCACCCCCCCGCCUCACACACACACACAUUCAUGCUGUCAGACUGCCGAUCAGAUUCAACUUACUAUUGCUUCAUGUAAUCUCUUUGCCUCUCCUCCCAUUCCUCACUUGUUUGUUUCAUUUCUUCCUCUGUCUGCUGUCCUCCCUCUCUACAGCCCC